GACGAACGCUGGCUGCGUGCUUAACACAUGCAAGUCGAACGCUGAAGCCAGAAGCUUGCUUCUGGUGGAUGAGUGGCGAACGGGUGAGUAACACGUGAGUAACCUGCCCCUGAUUUCGGGAUAAGCCUGGGAAACCGGGUCUAAUACCGGAUACGACCAUCCCUCGCAUGAGGGUUGGUGGAAAGUCUUUCGAUCGGGGAUGGGCUCGCGGCCUAUCAGCUUGUUGGUGGGGGAAUGGCCUACCAAGGCGACGACGGGUAGCCGGCCUGAGAGGGCGACCUGCCACACUGGGACUGGGACACGGCCCAGACCCCUACGGGAGGCAGCAGUGGGGAAUAUUGCACAAUGGGGGAAACCCUGAUGCAGCGACGCAGCGUGCGGGAUGACGGCCUUCGGGUUGUAAACCGCUUUCAGCAGGGAAGAAGCGAAAGUGACGGUACCUGCAGAAGAAGUACCGGCUAACUACGUGCCAGCAGCCGCCGCAG
rnacentral:rRNA from 1 species